UAGCGUACAUUAAUGUUGUUGCAGUUAAAAAGCUCGUAGUCGGAUUUUGGGAGCAUGUUGCACUGUCUGCCGAUUGGUAUGUACGGUUUAACGGCUUCAUUCCUUGACAAAACUCUGGUGAGCCUUCAUUGGUCUACUUGUUGGGUUGUCGUCUUUUACUUUGAAAAAAUUAGAGUGUUCAAAGCAGGCCUAUGCUCUGAAUAGGUUAGCAUGGAAUAAUAGAAUAGGACUUUGGUUCUAUUUUGUUGGUUUCUAGGACCGAAGUAAUGAUUAAUAGGGACAGUUGGGGGCAUUUUUAUUCCAUUGUCAGAGGUGAAAUUCUUGGAUUAACGGAAGAAAAACUACUGCGAAAGCAUCUGCCAAGGAUGUUUUCAUUGAUCAAGAACGAAAGUUAGGGGAUCGAAGACGAUCAGAUACCGUCGCAGUCUUAACCAUAAACUAUGCCAGCUAGGGAUCGGAGGAUGUUACUAAUCGACUCCUUCGGCACCUUAAGAGAAAUCACAAGCAUUUGGGUUCCGGGGGGAGUAUGGUCGCAAGGCUGAAACUUAAAGGAAUUGACGGGAGGGCACCACCAGGAGUGGAGCCUGUGGCUUAAUUUGACUCAACACGGGAAAACUUACCAGGUCCGGACAUAGUAAGGAUUGACAGAUUGAAAGCUCUUUCUUGAUUCUAUGGGUGGUGGUGCAUGGCCGUUCUUAGUUGGUGGAGUGAUUUGUCUGGUUAAUUCCGAUAACGAACGAGACCUUAACCUGCUAAAUAGCCC
rnacentral:rRNA from 1 species